rnacentral:rRNA from 1 species
UCUGACGGAGCGACGUCGCGUGAUUGAUGAAGUCUUUCGGGAUGUAAAGAUCUUUUAUAGGUGAAGAAGUUUAUUGACAUUAACCUAUGAAUAAGGGGUUGCUAAACUCGUGCCAGCAGCAGCGGUAAUACGAGUACCCCGAGCGUUGUCCGGAAUUAUUGGGCGUAAAGGGUCCGCAGGCGGUUGUAUUAGUCUUUUGUCAAAUCUCGCGGCUUAACCGCGAAUCCGCAAAAGAAACGGUACAACUAGAGGGUGUGAGAGGUAUGUGGAACUCACGGUGUAGGGGUGAAAUCCGUUGAUAUCGUGGGGAACACCAAAAGCGAAGGCAGCAUACUGGCACACUCCUGACGCUCAUGGACGAAAGCGUGGGUAGCGAAUGGGAUUAGAUACCCCAGUAGUCCACGCCCUAAACGUUCUUCUCUGGCCAUUCGGAGUAUCGACCCUCUGAGUGGCGAAGCUAACGCGUUAAGAGAAGCGCCUGGGGAGUACGGCCGCAAGGCUAAAACUCAAAGGAAUAGACGGGGACUCGCACAAGCGGUGGAUCACGUGGCUUAAUUCGAUGGUAAGCGAAGAACCUUACCAAGACUAGAAACUUAACUGAAAGCACCAGGAAACUGGAGCCCUCUUCGGACAGU